AUCUUCACAAUGGACGAAAGUCUGAUGGAGCAACGCCGCGUGAGUGAAGAAGGUUUUCGGAUCGUAAAACUCUGUUGUUGGAGAAGAACGUAUUUGAUAGUAACUGAUCAGGUAGUGACGGUAUCCAACCAGAAAGCCACGGCUAACUACGUGCCAGCAGCCGCGGUAAUACGUAGGUGGCAAGCGUUGUCCGGAUUUAUUGGGCGUAAAGCGAGCGCAGGCGGUUUCUUAAGUCUGAUGUGAAAGCCUUCGGCUCAACCGAAGAAGUGCAUCGGAAACUGGGAAACUUGAGUGCAGAAGAGGACAGUGGAACUCCAUGUGUAGCGGUGAAAUGCGUAGAUAUAUGGAAGAACACCAGUGGCGAAGGCGGCUGUCUGGUCUGUAACUGACGCUGAGGCUCGAAAGCAUGGGUAGCAAACAGGAUUAGAUACCCUGGUAGUCCAUGCCGUAAACGAUGAGUGCUAGGUGUUGGAGGGUUUCCGCCCUUCAGUGCCGCAGCUAACGCAUUAAGCACUCCGCCUGGGGAGUACGACCGCAAGGUUGAAACUCAAAGGAAUUGACGGGCCCCCA
rnacentral:rRNA from 1 species